rnacentral:rRNA from 1 species
CCUACGGGAGGCAGCAGUGGGGGAUAUUGGACAAUGGGGGAAACCCUGAUCCAGCGACGCCGCGUGAGUGAAGAAGUAUUUCGGUAUGUAAAGCUCUAUCAGCAGGGAAGAAAGAAAUGACGGUACCUGAGUAAGACGCCCCGGCUAACUACGUGCCAGCAGCCGCGGUAAUACGUAGGGGGCAAGCGUUAUCCGGAUUUACUGGGUGUAAAGGGAGCGUAGACGGCGAUGCAAGUCUGAAGUGAAAGGCGGGGGCCCAACCCCCGGACUGCUUUGGAAACUGUAUGGCUGGAGUGCAGGAGAGGUAAGUGGAAUUCCUAGUGUAGCGGUGAAAUGCGUAGAUAUUAGGAGGAACACCAGUGGCGAAGGCGGCUUACUGGACUGUAACUGACGUUGAGGCUCGAAAGCGUGGGGAGCAAACAGGAUUAGAUACCCUAGUAGUC